CCGAACCGACUAAUGUUGAAAAAUUAGCGGAUGACCUGUGGCUGGGGGUGAAAGGCCAAUCAAACCGGGAGAUAGCUGGUUCUCCCCGAAAGCUAUUUAGGUAGCGCCUCGUGAAUUCAUCUCCGGGGGUAGAGCACUGUUUCGGCUAGGGGGCCAUCCCGGCUUACCAACCCGAUGCAAACUGCGAAUACCGGAGAAUGUUAUCACGGGAGACACACGGCGGGUGCUAACGUCCGUCGUGAAGAGGGAAACAACCCAGACCGCCAGCUAAGGUCCCAAAGUCAUGGUUAAGUGGGAAACGAUGUGGGAAGGCCCAGACAGCCAGGAUGUUGGCUUAGAAGCAGCCAUCAUUUAAAGAAAGCGUAAUAGCUCACUGGUCGAGUCGGCCUGCGCGGAAGAUGUAACGGGGCUAAACCAUGCACCGAAGCUGCGGCAGCGACACUGUGUGUUGUUGGGUAGGGGAGCGUUCUGUAAGCCUGUGAAGGUGUGUCGUGAGGCAUGCUGGAGGUAUCAGAAGUGCGAAUGCUGACAUAAGUAACGAUAAAGCGGGUGAAAAGCCCGCUCGCCGGAAGACCAAGGGUUCCUGUCCAACGUUAAUCGGGGCAGGGUGAGUCGACCCCUAAGGCGAGGCCGAAAGGCGUAGUCGAUGGGAAACGGGUUAAUAUUCCCGUACUUGGUGUUACUGCGAAGGGGGGACGGAGAAGGCUAUGUUGGCCGGGCGACGGUUGUCCCGGUUUAAGCGUGUAGGCUGGUUUUCCAGGCAAAUCCGGAAAAUCAA
rnacentral:rRNA from 1 species